rnacentral:rRNA from 1 species
UACGUAGGGUGCAAGCGUUAAUCGGAAUUACUGGGCGUAAAGCGUGCGCAGGCGGUUAUGCAAGACAGAUGUGAAAUCCCCGGGCUUAACCUGGGAACCGCAUUUGUGACUGCAUAGCUGGAGUACGGCAGAGGGGGAUGGAAUUCCGCGUGUAGCAGUGAAAUGCGUAGAUAUGCGGAGGAACACCGAUGGCGAAGGCAGUCCCCUGGGCCUGUACUGACGCUCAUGACACGAAAGCGUGGGGAGCAAACAGG